GACGAACGCUGGCGGCGUGCUUAACACAUGCAAGUGGUGCGACGAACCAGGGCUUGCCCUGGGGCAAAGCCGCGAACGGGUGAGUAACACGUGAGUAACCUGCCCCGAUGACCGGGACAACCCGAGGAAACUCGGGCUAAUACCGGAUGUGGCGCACAGGCAUCAGCCUGUUCGCUAAAGGAAGCUUCGGCCUCCGCAUUGGGAGGGGCUCGCGGCCCAUUAGCUUGUUGGUGGGGUAACGGCCUACCAAGGCAACGAUGGGUAGCUGGUCUGAGAGGACGAUCAGCCACACUGGGACUGAGACACGGCCCAGACUCCUACGGGAGGCAGCAGUGGGGAAUCUUGCGCAAUGCGCGAAAGCGUGACGCAGCAACGCCGCGUGGGGGAAGAAUGCCUUCGGGUUGUAAACCCCUUU
rnacentral:rRNA from 1 species